CGGAAGGCGGAAGUGACUGUUGAUUGUCGGGUUCCCGGUCCAUGUCCAGGCGGAGCUAACGCCGAGUCCGACCCUGCAGGCGUGACCGAGCGGGAACCUCCGAGGCUGGAAGAUGAAGCAUCAACACUGAAGUACCGAAAACUGCAGCUCUCCCAAUGGCCGCUUGCGGCUAGCUCCAAAAGUUAGUCAGUCACCAUAGACUGGUUUAAAGUUCUGCAUGAUUGAGGAUAAGCUGGAAAUUUGGCGGGCUAGCAAGAUGGAGGCGGCGGCGGAGCAGUUCCAAAACGACUCUUCCGAAAGCUACGUGUGACGUCACGGAGGACGCCCAUCUUUAUUUGCAGUCCACAGAACAUAUGUGUAUGCCUCUGAAUGCAUCAGACAUCCCGCCAUGCAGGCCUCCCCGCUGCCUCCAGAGUGACCCUGGACUCUGACAAUUACCCUCCUCCUCCGACGCGUGGUGCAUCGCAAAUGCAUGUGAGUGCAGAGCGGCGCGCAACACACAAGCAUCACGUUGAGAAACAUAAGCCAGGACAAUUAUCUCUGUAUGGUUUAUAUUGCAAACAGGCCAAUUACCGGCGCCGCCACAUGCAUGUAUAUGAAGUCCCACUGGACCUGGGCACGCCCACUCUGAACACCUUCAUAUAAACUGCACUUUCCUGUGAUUUUAGAUUGGAGUGAAACAUGUGAUGCCAUA